rnacentral:rRNA from 1 species
AUUGACGUCUGGCGGCAGGCCUAACAAAUGCAAGUCGAGCGAGCGGCGGACGGGUGAGUAAUGUAUGGGGACUGCCCGAUAGAGGGGGAUAACUACGGGACGCGGUGGCUAAUACCGCAUACUAUCGGAUCACCCAUAUGGGAUUAGCUAGUAGGUGGGGGAAAGGCACACCUAGGCGACGAUCCCUCGCUGGUCUGAGAGGAUGAUGAGCCAAAAUGGUACUGAGACACGGCCAAGACUCCUUCGGAGCUAUCAGGGCGAAAUAUUGCUACAUGGGGGCAAGCGUCGGCAACGUAAGCCGCGUGUAUGAAAAAGGGCUUAGGGUUGUAAAGUACUUUCAGCGGGUAGGCGUUUCCCGCAGAAGAUGCACCCGCUAACUCCCUGCCCGGAGCCGCGGUAAUAC